rnacentral:lncRNA from 1 species
UUCAACAAAAAUGAUAUGCAGGGCAACUUAGAUUAAUCUAUCAUAAAAGGCAGUCUUGCUAUUGUAUUGUUUAAAGGAAAUCUAAAAUAAUGAAAACCUUAUUGCUUCUUCAACUUUGGUACCUAAUGUCAUUAGCUUUAAUUUUUGCGACAAUUAUUUGGAUGCACAUAAAAUGCUUUCCAGAAUGUGCACAUGUUAAUGUUGUUUCCAUGUUAUUGUAUUCUCGAC